UACGUAGGGGGCAAGCGUUGUCCGGAUUUAUUGGGCGUAAAGAGCGUGUAGGCGGCCAGACAGGUCCGUUGUGAAAACUCGAGGCUCAACCUCGAGACGCCGAUGGAAACCGUCUGGCUAGAGUCCGGAAGAGGAGAGUGGAAUUCCUGGUGUAGCGGUGAAAUGCGCAGAUAUCAGGAGGAACACCUAUUGCGAAGGCAGCUCGCUGGCACGUAACUGACGCUGAGACGCGAAAGCGUGGGGAGCAAGCAGG
rnacentral:rRNA from 1 species